rnacentral:rRNA from 1 species
GGACCCGCACAAGCGGUGGAGCAUGUGGUUUAAUUCGAUGCAACACGAAGAACCUUACCAGGGUUUGAAAUCAUUUCAAAACUCCUUGAAAGAGGAGCCUCCUUCGGGAUGAAAUGACAGGUGGUGCAUGGCUGUCGUCAGCUCGUGUUGUGAAAUGUCGAGUUAAGUCUCGUAACGAGCGCAACCCAUGUCUCUUGUUGCUCACUGAGUGCUUAAGAGAGACUGCCGACCAACAUCGGAGGAAGGUGUGGAUGAUGUCAAGUCAGCAUGCCCCUUACAUCCUGGGCUACACACGUACUACAAUGGUAAGGACAAUGAGCUGCGAUCCUGCGAAGGCUAGCCAAUCUCAAAAACCUUAUCUCAGUUCGGAUUGCACUCUGCAACUCGAGUGCAUGAAGGUGGAAUC